CUCGAAAGCAUCGCGCCYGGCAUCAUGUAUCUUAUGCGGCUCGAAGGACCCUUACAAAACC
rnacentral:rRNA from 1 species